rnacentral:misc_RNA from 1 species
AAAUGCGAUAAGUAAUGUGAAUUGCAGAAUUCAGUGAAUCAUCGAAUCUUUGAACGCACAUUGCGCCCGCCAGUAUUCUGGCGGGCAUGCCUGUCCGAGCGUCAUUUCAACCAUCAAGCCCCCCGGGCUUGUGUUGGGGACCUGCGGCUGCCCGCAGGCCCUGAAAACCAGUGGCGGGCUCGCUGUCACACCGAGCGUAGUAGCAAUCACCUCGCUCAGGGCGUGCUGCGGGUUCCGGCCGUUAAACAGCCUUACAAAACCCAAGGUUGACCUCGGAUCAGGUAGGAAGACCCGCUGAACUUAAGC